UUUAAAGAGGGGAGAGAUAGGAGCAGCUUAGCAUUUUAGAAAGUUCACUCGACUGAAAAUGUGCAGGAAGCACAAACCAAAGCACAAAGACAAAACAAGUUCAGAGGAUGUGGCUGCCACCCAGAGGCUCCAGUGGACAGAGCUCCCCACUCCCACCCCACCGUCUUGUCCCAGAGAUGGAAGAGAACUUGGGAGCAGCCCUCAGAACCAGAGGUACCUUCAAAACCAUGCAGCACCACCAGCUGAAACCCAGGUCCCAUGGGCUCUGCCACUCCCCAUGCCAAGCAGGGGGAAGGAGGGUGUGGGGGACAGAAAAAGGAGUGGGCAGGGUGGGGCCAUGGUGGUUUGGAUUGAGAUGAGCUGGACUUAGGUGUGUGACAGCUUUUCCCCUGGGCCCAAACUUAUACCUUUGUUUUCCUGCUCUGGGCCUCUGUAAAAGGAGGAUUGGGGAUGGCAUGUGCGCUGUUCAAAUGCUGCUCUCAGAGCCCUGGCUCUCUGUGGCAGAGAAGCAGAGCCGCAGCAGCUCUGGGCUUAGGGCCAUACACCGACCUGCACCACUAGGGUUUCAUUUGCAGAACCAGCCCACAGCCGAGGGGCCUUUGGUCACCUCUGGGCAAGGUGAUAUCUGUGUCCUUCCUGGCCUGAACCUUGCAGAGAUGGACAGCACCAUAUCUGCUGCUGGGGGAGAGGGGACACACCCAGAAGGAGGAACCGAAGAAACAUACUUUAUAAACCUUAGAUUGAGUCUCAAUACAUAUGUCCAGGACAUGGAGGGAUAAGACUGACCAUGGGACAUAGGCUCAGAAUGAGGAGACCUAGAGGAAAUGUGCACCCGUGCUCACUGUUACCUGCCUGUGUGCACACAUAUCCACCUGCACACAUGCACACACACCUGCACACAUGCACACACACACCUGCACACAUGCACACACACGUGGACACACACACACACACAUAGCUGCCCCUCACAGCCCUGCCUACAUGGAAGGCACCAGCUAGAGGUAUCUCCUCGCCUCUCGCUCUGGGCCCCACCUCACUCCCACCUACCUCCUCUCCGGACUCCUCAAGUUGACCUAGCAGAGCUGUGUCAGGAGAUGAGGAAAACGUCUCUAACUGGUUUUCAAAUAUUUGGGUCUUGCUAAAGACCAACACAUUUUUUUAAGUGUGUAUAAUUUGAGGGCAAUUUGAUCCAUAUGUUUCUGAUUCCCCUGCACUUAAAUCAUCAAAAUAUUGAUUUUUAAGAGCCAUUUGAUGUCUAAGGAAUCUUUUUAAUAAGCUUUUAAAGCUCUUUAAACCCAGAGCCUGGAGCCAGGGCCAGAGCUCAGGCUGUCCGCUGGCCAGCCGCACCCUCCCCUCCCCUGGGUCAGGACUACUUGGCGCUGAGUCUCACUGCCCCUCUUCCUGGCCUCCCUGCCUCCACAGGGUGCUGAACCUCCCAGGCAUGCUGACAGAGGAGCCCAGCCCCUUCUGUUACAGACUUCUCUCCUGCUUCCUCAAAGUAUGCCUAAGGCACGAACCAAGAGGAGCAGACGCGAUCUUUACUUUUGAAAGGCUGCAUAAAAUUUAGCUGCAUAAAUGUGCUGUAAUGUAUUUAACCAACCCCUACUGAAGGCUGUUUAGGUCGUUUCCUGUGGCACACUUUUAUGCACGUGUCUGAUUGUUUCCUUUGGAUCCAUUUCUAGAAGUAAAAAUACUGUGUCAAAAAGUGGACACACCUUACGUCCCUUUACUCAUGAGUUGCCACAUUAUUUUCUAAAAGAGUACACCAAUUCAAACUUCCACAGGCUCCUCCCGCCUCCCACUCCCGCCCCAUACUCUUGAGUGGAAUUCUCGUUAUUCCUUUUCAAAUGGUGCCAUUCCAUCUGCACAUGUGGAAGCUCUCUAGCAAAGCAGUUAAGAGGAGGCUCUGGAACCAGAGAGCUUGGGUAUGAAUCCCAGUUCUGCUAUGUCCUAAUUGGGAAAGUUGCUUAUUCUGUCCAUGCCUCUGUUUUCUCAUCUACAAUUUGGGGGAUAAUAAUGGCAUCUACCAAAUAAGUUUAUUGUGAGGAUGACAUGAGAUCAUGGAUAUAAACUUAAACUACAUAGAAAAGCGCCUGGUGCACAGUUUGUGUUCAGUAAAUGAUAGCUAGUAUUGUUA